rnacentral:rRNA from 1 species
ACCUCCCAACCCCGUGUCUACCACACCUUGUCGUUGCUUCGGCGGAUCGCUUGACCAACAUGGUCGUGACGGCCGGGGGCUAGCUCUGGCCCCCCCUGGGGAGCGUCCGUCGAUGGCCCAACCACAAAACUCUUGUACCGAAACGUGUCGUCUGAAUUGUUUGAGAAAUCAAAAACAAAACUUUCAACAACGGAUCUCUUGGUUCUGGCAUCGAUGAAGAACGCAGCGAAAUGCGAUAAGUAAUGCGAAUUGCAGAAUUUCCGUGAGUCAUCGAAUCUUUGAACGCACAUUGCGCCCAUUGGUAUUCCGAUGGGCAUGCCUGUUCGAGCGUCAUUAUCCUCCCUCAAACCUCGUGCUUGGUGUUGGGCCGUGUUNNNGAGCGACCAACUGGUCUCAAAGACAAUGACGGCGUCCGUGGGACCCUCGGUGCAACGAGCUUUUAACGAGCACGCGUCGAGUUUCAAGGACCUU